AGAGUUUGAUCCUGGCUCAGAGCGAACGCUGGCGGCGUGCUUAACACAUGCAAGUCGAACGCGCAGUUUGGUGUAGCAAUACACUGGAUGGGCGCGUGGCGAACGGGUGCGUAACACGUGGAUAACCUUCCUUCUGGUGGGGAAUAACCCCGUGAAAACGGGGCUAAUACCGCAUAACAUUGCGAGGGCGCAUGCUCUUGCAUUCAAAGGCGCAAGUCGCCGGAAGAGGGAUCCGCGGCCGAUUAGCUAGUUGGCGAGGUAAUGGCUCACCAAGGCGAUGAUCGGUAGCCGGACUGAGAGGUUGGCCGGCCACACUGGAACUGAGACACGGUCCAGACUCCUACGGGAGGCAGCAGUGGGGAAUCUUGCGCAAUGGGCGAAAGCCUGACGCAGCAACGCCGCGUGGGGGAUGAAGCUUCUCGGAGUGUAAACCCUUUUCGACCGGGACGAAUGCCCGCAAGGGCUUGACGGUACCGGUAUAAGAAGCCCCGGCUAACUACGUGCCAGCAGCCGCGGUAAAACGUAGGGGGCCAGCGUUGCUCGGAAUUACUGGGCGUAAAGGGUCCGUAGGCGGUGUGACAAGUCGGUAGUGAAAUCUCUGGGCUUAACUCAGAGGCUGCUGCCGAAACUGUUGUGCUAGAGUGUGAGAGAGGCGAGUGGAAUUACGGGUGUAGCGGUGAAAUGCGUAGAUAUCCGUAGGAACAUCCGAGGCGAGAGCGGCUCGCUGGAUCACAACUGACGCUGAGGGACGAAAGCUAGGGGAGCAAACAGGAUUAGAUACCCCUGUAGUCC
rnacentral:rRNA from 1 species